rnacentral:rRNA from 1 species
CGUCUCAGUUCGGAUUGUAGUCUGCAACUCGACUACAUGAAGCUGGAAUCGCUAGUAAUCGCGAAUCAGAAUGUCGCGGUGAAUACGUUCCCGGGUCUUGUACACACCGCCCGUCACACCAUGGGAGUUGGUAACGCCCGAAGUCAGUGACCCAACCUUAGGGAGGGAGCUGCCGAAGGCGGGACUGAUAACUGGGGUGAAGUCGUAACAAGGUACC